rnacentral:rRNA from 1 species
GAGCUUGCUUCCCAUGAGAGUGGCGCACGGGUGCGUAACACGUAUGUAACCUACCUUGKUCAGGGGGAUAGCCUCUCGAAAGAGAGAUUAACACCGCAUAAAAUCAAUUUAUGGCAUCAUAGAAUGAUCAAAUAUUUAUAGGAACAAGAUGGGCAUGCGGAACAUUAGCUAGUUGGUAAGGUAACGGCUUACCAAGGCUACGAUGUUUAGGGGAUCUGAGAGGAUGACCCCCCACACUGGUACUGAGACACGGACCAGACUCCUACGGGAGGCAGCAGUAAGGAAUAUUGGUCAAUGGACGCAAGUCUGAACCAGCCAUGCCGCGUGCAGGAAGACGGCCCUACGGGUUGUAAACUGCUUUUGUACCGGAAUAAACCUUUUCACGUGUGAGAAGCUGAAUGUACGGUAAGAAUAAGGAUCGGCUAACUCCGUGCCAGCAGCCGCGGUAAUACGGAGGAUCCAAGCGUUAUCCGGAUUUAUUGGGUUUAAAGGGUGCGUAGGUGGCCUAUUAAGUCAGGGGUGAAAGACGGUAGCUUAACUAUCGCAGUGCCUUUGAUACUGAUGGGCUUGAAUACACUUGAGGUAGGCGGAAUGUGACAAGUAGCGGUGAAAUGCAUAGAUAUGUCACAGAACACCAGUUGCGAAGGCAGCUUACUAAAGUGUUAUUGACACUGAGGCACGAAAGCGUGGGGAUCAAACAGGAUUAGAUACCCUGGUAGUCCACGCCCUAAACGAUGAAUACUCGAUGUUGGCGAUAUACGGUCAGCGUCUAAGCGAAAGCGUUAAGUAUUCCACCUGGGG